UACGGAGGUGGCGAGCGUUGUCCGGAUUUACUGGGCGUAAAGGGCGUGCAGGCGGUUUGGUAAGUGCAGAGUGAAAGCUCCCGGCUCAACUGGGAGAGGUCUUUGCAUACUGGCAAACUCGAGGGAGGCAGAGGAAAGUGGAAUUCCCGGUGUAGUGGUGAUAUGCGUAGAUAUCGGGAGGAACACCUGUGGCGAAGGCGGCUUUCUGGGCCUUACCUGACGCUGAGACGCGAAAGCGUGGGGAGCGAACCGG
rnacentral:rRNA from 1 species